UUUUAGUACUAAUAUACAACAUAGCAAAGUGGAGAUUGACAAUGGUUUUGUGCUCCUCCCCAGAAAUGAUGUCUGCGACAGUGACUCGUAGUCUCAUCCUCAGUCUUUAGAAAUUUGGCCUCACGUUUAGACGAGAUGCAAGCUUCUGACCCAGAGAUCGGUCGCACUGAGACCAGUAUGAGAACCAGAUAGUGCGAAUCUCAUGAGGGAUACGGGGGUCUGAUAAACCGUUAACCA
rnacentral:misc_RNA from 1 species